AACCGAUGCAAACUCCGAAUACCAAAGAGUAAUGCACAGGAGACACACGGCGGGUGCUAACGUCCGUCGUGGAGAGGGAAACAACCCAGACCGCCAGCUAAGGUCCCAAAAUCUAUAUUAAGUGGGAAACGAAGUGGGAAGGCUUAGACAGCUAGGAUGUUGGCUUAGAAGCAGCCACCAUUUUAAAGAAAGCGUAAUAGCUCACUAGUCGAGUCGGCCUGCGCGGUAAGAUGUAACGGGGCUAAAAUAUAGUACCGAAGGCUGCGGCAUCAGGAGCAACAUUAAUGGUUUUACCGCUUAACCACGCACGAACGAAGAGAGUGCGUGGGUAAAGCAACCAAAACGUCGAGGAAUGAAACGGAAAGAAUCAUUAAUGUUGCUCCUGUUGGGUAGGGGAGCGUUGUGUAAGCGGAAGAAGGUGGUUCGAGAGGAUUGCUGGACGUAUCACAAGUGCGAAUGCUGACAUAAGUAACGAUUAAAAACGGGUGAAAAACCCGUUCGCCGGAAGACCAAGGGUUCCUGUCCAACGUUAAUCGGGGCAGGGUGAGUCGGCCCCUAAGGCGAGGCUGAAAAGCGUAGUCGAUGGGAAACGGGUUAAUAUUCCCGUACUUGGUAAAGCUGCGAUGUGGGGACGGAGAAGGUUAGGUUAUCGACCUGUUGGAUAUGGUCGUUUAAGUUGGUAGGUGGGUGAGUUAGGCAAAUCCGGCUCACCGUUAACACUGAGAGAUGAUGACGAGGCACUAAGGUGCUGAAGUAACUGAUACCACACUUCCAGGAAAAGCCACUAAGCUUCAGGCUUUACUAAACCGUACUGAAAACCGACACAGGUGGUCAGGUAGAGAAUACUCAGGCGCUUGAGAGAACUCGGGUGAAGGAACUAGGCAAAAUAGCACCGUAACUUCGGGAGAAGGUGCGCCGGCGUAGAUUGUAGUGACUUGCUCACGAAGGUUGAACCGGUCGAAGAUACCAGCUGGCUGCAACUGUUUAUUAAAAACACAGCACUCUGCAAACACGAAAGUGGACGUAUAGGGUGUGAUGCCUGCCCGGUGCUGGAAGGUUAAUUGAUGGUGUAAUCGAAAGAGAAGCUCCUGAUCGAAGCCCCAGUAAACGGCGGCCGUAACUAUAACGGUCCUAAGGUAGCGAAAUUCCUUGUCGGGUAAGUUCCGACCUGCACGAAUGGCAUAAUGAUGGCCAGGCUGUCUCCACCCGAGACUCAGUGAAAUUGAAAUCGCCGUGAAGAUGCGGUGUACCCGCGGCUAGACGGAAAGACCCCGUGAACCUUUACUAUAGCUUGACACUGAACCUUGAAUUUUGAUGUGUAGGAUAGGUGGGAGACUAUGAAGCGGUAACGCCAGUUAUCGUGGAGUCGUUGUUGAAAUACCACCCUUUAACGUUUGAUGUUCUAACGAAGCGCCUGAAACGGGUGUUCGGACAGUGUCUGGUGGGUAGUUUGACUGGGGCGGUCUCCUCCCAAAGCGUAACGGAGGAGCACGAAGGUUUGCUAAUGACGGUCGGACAUCGUCAGGUUAGUGCAAUGGUAUAAGCAAGCUUAACUGCGAGACAGACAAGUCGAGCAGGUGCGAAAGCAGGUCAUAGUGAUCCGGUGGUUCUGAAUGGAAGGGCCAUCGCUCAACGGAUAAAAGGUACUCCGGGGAUAACAGGCUGAUACCGCCCAAGAGUUCAUAUCGACGGCGGUGUUUGGCACCUCGAUGUCGGCUCAUCACAUCCUGGGGCUGAAGUAGGUCCCAAGGGUAUGGCUGUUCGCCAUUUAAAGUGGUACGCGAGCUGGGUUUAGAACGUCGUGAGACAGUUCGGUCCCUAUCUGCCGUGGGCGUUGGAGAAUUGAGAGGGGCUGCUCCUAGUACGAGAGGACCGGAGUGGACGCAUCACUGGUGUACCAGUUGUCUCGCCAGAGGCACAGCUGGGUAGCUAAAUGCGGAAGAGAUAAGUGCUGAAAGCAUCUAAGCACGAAACUUGCCUUAAGAUGAGUUCUCCCAGUCUAUAAGACUGUAAGGGUUGUUUGAGACUAAGACGUAGAUAGGCUGGGUGUGUAAGCGGUGUGAGCCGUUGAGCUAACCAGUACUAAUUGCCCGAGAGGCUUAACUAU
rnacentral:rRNA from 1 species